GUCCACGCCCUAAACGAUGGAUACUCGACAUUUGCGAUAAACUGCAAGUGUCUGAGCGAAAGCAUUAAGUAUCCCACCUGGGAAGUACGAUCGCAAGAUUGAAACUCAAAGGAAUUGGCGGGGUCCGCACAAGCGGUGUAGCAUGUGGUUUAAUUCGAUGAUACGCGAGGAACCUUACCUGGGCUAGAAUGUCAGUGGACCGUGGGUGAAAGCUCAUUUUGUAGCAAUACACCGCUGAUAAGGUGCUGCAUGGCUGUCGU
rnacentral:rRNA from 1 species